rnacentral:rRNA from 1 species
GACGAACGCUGGCGGCGUGCUUAACACAUGCAAGUCGAACGAAGAGCGAUGGAAGCUUGCUUCUAUCAAUCUUAGUGGCGAACGGGUGAGUAACGCGUAAUCAACCUGCCCUUCAGAGGGGGACAACAGUUGGAAACGACUGCUAAUACCGCAUACGAUCCAAUCUCGGCAUCGAGGAUGGAUGAAAGGUGGCCUCUAUUUAUAAGCUAUCACUGAAGGAGGGGAUUGCGUCUGAUUAGCUAGUUGGAGGGGUAACGGCCCACCAAGGCGAUGAUCAUUAGCCGGUCUGAGAGGAUGAACGGCCACAUUGGGACUGAGACACGGCCCAGACUCCUACGGGAGGCAGCAGUGGGGAAUCUUCCGCAAUAGACGAAAGUCUGACGGAGCAACGCCGCGUGAGUGAUGACGGCCUUCGGGUUGUAAAGCUCUGUUAAUCGGGACGAAAGGUCCUCUUGCGAAUAGGUAGAGGAAUUGACGGUACCGGAAUAGAAAGCCACGGCUAACUACGUG